rnacentral:rRNA from 1 species
GAUGAACGCUGGCGGCGUGCCUAAUACAUGCAAGUCGAGCGAACAGACGAGGAGCUUGCUCCUCUGACGUUAGCGGCGGACGGGUGAGUAACACGUGGAUAACCUACCUAUAAGACUGGGAUAACUUCGGGAAACCGGAGCUAAUACCGGAUAAUAUAUUGAACCGCAUGGUUCAAUAGUGAAAGACGGUUUUGCUGUCACUUAUAGAUGGAUCCGCGCCGCAUUAGCUAGUUGGUAAGGUAACGGCUUACCAAGGCAACGAUGCGUAGCCGACCUGAGAGGGUGAUCGGCCACACUGGACCUGAGCCACGGUCCAGACUCCUACGGGAGGCAGCAGUAGGGAAUCUUCCGCAAUGGGCGAAAGCCUGACGGAGCAACGCCGCGUGAGUGAUGAAGGUCUUCGGAUCGUAAAACUCUGUUAUUAGGGAAGAACAAAUGUGUAAGUAACUAUGCACGUCUUGACGGUACCUAAUCAGAAAGCCACGGCUAACUACGU